rnacentral:lncRNA from 1 species
UUCCAUUCUAUUCAAUCUAAAUAUUACUUUUGUCAAACUAUAUAAUAGAAUAAUAUCAGCCAUUUUAUUUUAUAAAAUAAUAAUCUAGUUGUAUCUGUUGCAAGGUUUUGAGUUCACUAAGCAUUUUGGAUGGGUUGAGUUAAUGAAAUUUUGCACUACACCAAAAUACACAAAAAAAAAAAAAUAAAUUUAUUUGUCCACAUAAAUAAGACGAUAAGGUAGUCAUUUUCAAAAUAUUAUUAUAGGCAUGUCUGAUGUCGCUGUGUCUUUUUUGUUUCUUUCAAAUUUUAAGAAAUGAUAGAGGAGUCCAGGGACGCAUAAUUACAAAUGAAUUAUCAGCUAAACAAUCUUAUUCAAUCGUUUUCUAAUCCUAAAAUCAAACUUCAGCGUGAAACUAAGCCAGUCAAAUUACAAAUCCAGUGUAUUGAGAUACUUUAAGGGAAGUUUUUGGCUAUAUAUGCUAACUUUAUUUUUUUGCAUUUUCAGAUUAUUGCAUGAACCCUUUUCAAGAUAAUUAGAGAAAGUAAGCCUUAGUUCAAAAAAGAAGAUGACUAGAGAAAUCAAUUAUUACAAAAAAAAAAACAAUACGAAUAUAUAGGAGGACCAACAAGGUCGCACAGGGACGUCAUUGACGCAUUAAAGAUGUCAUAGGUCGGCAUAACAAGACAAGAACAACUUGAUAAUACUUUAAUUUGCAUGUUUCAGUAUAGCUAUAGAAGAAGAAAGUAGAUCAAUUCUUACCUAUAUAAGUUUAGGUACAAAUUAUCAUUUCUGGACUGUGAAUGCCGAGUUGGACAUUACUGACUUCAAAAUAUAAACAGAAAAUGCAGAUUGAAAUCGAUGAGGUAAGGUAAAAAAAGUUUGGUUAUUCAAGUUAUGUUGUAGAUGCUUACAACUCAACACAUGUCGUUCAUUUAUCGGAUCGAUACGAGUAGUUUUUAAUUGUGUUUUUUUUUUAAACUGAGUUUAUAAUCGUGCUUAAAAAUUGGUUAUAUUUAUAAAAGUUUGAUAACAUAACAAUGAUGGUCGUGGUCUAUUUUUGAUUACUUGGUUUGUGCGGACGUCUUCAUUCGUUUUGAUUAUUUUAUUUGUACACGACCUUUU